UGGCGGAAACGGAUGUGCGGUAAUGUAACGUGAGACGUUCCUUUCUGUGAGGAGGCUUGAAAAUGGUCGAGAACAAUACAGUACAUACAGUGUUAGUGACCUGUCCGUAUUCCUCUCAGGCUACUGACCGUUUCUGACAUGGCACGCAUGGACAAGCUCCCAGAAGAGCUGCCCAGUCGAGGCCUUCGCCGCGUUACUGUCACCUGAGCGGGGGACCCUCGCGGGCAGGACCGCCAAGAGCGUUAAACUAGCACCUCCACUUUGUGUGGAGAAGAAACACAGGACACGGGCCAAAGAUUUCACCUACUGAGCUGGAGACCUGAGGCAAUGAAGCAAGCUGAGCGUAGCUGAAAAAGUGCAUGA
ensembl:lncRNA